GCCUGGGUGGCUCAGUUAGUUAAGCGUCUGACUUCGGCUCAGGUCAUGAUCUCGCGGUCUGUGAGUUCAAGCCCCACGUCAGGCU
rnacentral:tRNA from 1 species